AGUGAACGCUGGCGGCAUGCCUAACACAUGCAAGUCGAACGGCAGCGCGGGCUUCGGUUUCGCGCAGGGUGGGCAACGGGCGGGUAAUGCAUCGGUACGUGGCCAGCAACUGGGGAGAGCGCGAUAAAAGCGGGAGUAAUACCCUAUUCCACCAUACGGCGUAAGGGGGGGAGCGAAAGACCUUGCGCCAUUGCGGUCGCGGAUGUCGGAUUAGCUAGUUGGUGGGGUAAAGGGUUACCAAGGCGACGAUCCGUAGCUGGGCUGAGAGGAUGAGCAGCCACACUGGAACUGAGACACGGCCCAGACUCCUACGGGAGGCAGCAGUGGGGAAUUUUGGACAAUGGGGGCAAGCCUGAUCCAGCCAUACCGCGUGGGGGAAGAAGGCCUUCGGGUUGUAAACCGCUUUUGUUCGGAAAGAAAUGCAGUAGGUUAAUACCCCGCGGUGAUGACGGUACCCGAAGAAUAAGCACCGGCUAACUACGUG
rnacentral:rRNA from 1 species